UACGAGGGGAGCAAGCGUUGUUCGGAUUUACUGGGCGUAAAGGGCGCGUAGGCGGUCGUGACAAGUCACUUGUGAAAUCUCCGGGCUUAACUCGGAACGGUCAAGUGAUACUGUCGGACUAGAGUACAGAAGGGGCAACUGGAAUUCUCGGUGUAGCGGUGAAAUGCGUAGAUAUCGGGAGGAACACCUGCGGCGAAGGCGGGUUGCUGGGCUGAUACUGACGCUGAUGCGCGAAAGCCAGGGGAGCGAACGGG
rnacentral:rRNA from 1 species